UACGGAGGGUGCAAGCGUUAUCCGGAUUCACUGGGUUUAAAGGGUGCGUAGGCGGACAGAUAAGUCAGUGGUGAAAUCCCCGAGCUUAACUUGGGAACUGCCAUUGAUACUAUUUGUCUUGAAUGUCGUGGAGGUUAGCGGAAUAUGUCAUGUAGCGGUGAAAUGCUUAGAUAUGACAUAGAACACCCAUUGCGAAAGGCAGCUAACUACGCGAAUAUUGACGCUGAGGCACGAAAGCGUGGGGAGUCAAACAGGA
rnacentral:rRNA from 1 species